rnacentral:rRNA from 1 species
CCUACGGGAGGCAGCAGUGAGGAAUAUUGGUCAAUGGGCGGGAGCCUGAACCAGCCAAGUCGCGUGCGGGAAGACGGUCCUAUGGAUUGUAAACCUCUUUAGGCGGGGAGCAAUGCCGGGCACGCGUGCCCGGAGGGAGAGUACCCGCAGAAUAAGCAUCGGCUAACUCCGUGCCAGCAGCCGCGGUAAUACGGAGGAUGCGAGCGUUAUCCGGAUUUAUUGGGUUGAAAGGGUGCGUAGGCGGAUUUUUAAGUCAGCGGUAAAAUGUCCGGGCUCAACCCGGGCCGGCCGUUGAAACUGGGGAUCUUGAGUGGGCGAGAGGUAUGCGGAAUGCGUGGUGUAGCGGUGAAAUGCAUAGAUAUCACGAAGAACUCCGAUUGCGAAGGCAGCAUACCGGGGCCCGACUGACGCUGAGGCACGAAAGCGUGGGGAGCGAACAGGAUUAGAUACCCCUGUAGUC